AUCCAUCUGACGAGUCCCAAAUAGGACAAAGUGACACGCGUCCUGGAU
rnacentral:hammerhead_ribozyme from 1 species